rnacentral:rRNA from 1 species
AAUGAACGUUGGCGGCGUGGAUUAGGCAUGCAAGUCGAGCGAGAAGAGUUUGGUAGCUUGCUAUUGAACUCGGACAGCGGCGAAAGGGAGAGUAACGCGUAGUUACGUGCCCCAGGGUUCGGAAUAGCCACGGGAAACUGUGGGUAAUGCCGAAUAACAUCUCCGGAUCAAAGGUGUGAUUCCGCCCUGGGAGCGGACUGCGUCCUACUAGCUAGUUGGCGGGGUAAUGGCCCACCAAGGCGACAAUGGGUAGCGGGUGUGAGAGCAUGACCCGACUCACUGGGACGGAGACACUGCCCAGACGCCUACGGGUGGCUGCAGUCGAGAAUCCUCGGCAAUGGGCGAAAGCCUGACCGAGCGACGCCGCGUGCGGGAUGAAGGCCCUCGGGUUGUAAACCGCUGUCGUAGGGGAGGAAGGCGCCGUGAAGAACGGGGUUUGACCUAGCCUAGGAGGAAGUACGGGCUAAGUUCGUGCCAGCCGCCGCAGUAA